rnacentral:tRNA from 1 species
GUUUCUAUAGUUUAAAAUAAAACUUUGAUUUUGUAAAUCAAAAUUAAGAUUAAUUCUUUAGAAACU